CGCGACCUGGGUACGACUUGUGCGUCCAUACAGCGACGAUAGAACAGCAUCGACACCGACGGCAAACUCUAUGCAGCGAAUACUUCACCGGAAUCGAGAAGCGGAAUGCGGUCGCCCUCCUAAGCCUACCCUUCGAUGUUUCCAUCAGCCAACAGGAAGAUAAUAAAGAGAAUCGCGGAACGGCGCGAAAAAAAA